ACCACCACGGGAGCCCCACGGCCGCCACGGCUGCACUGUAGCCCCAAAACUGAAACACACUUUGAUUUGUUGGGGGCGGCUGAGGUCCAUCAGGAGCUAGGAGUCCCACAAGGAGGGUCUCUGCAGCGAUCCUGUGAAGAUUGGGGAACGAGGGCAGCCGAACAGAUAUAGUACGACUGGAGGACGCAACCUAAGAUUCAGAGAUGGGAGCUCGCUACCGUACUACAUGGAUCUAGGGCAUUAACCUGAGGAGGAAACCAAUUUUGGGUCUUCCCUGUGACAUACUUUUGUAAGAAUUGAGGUGCAGCUUGACGACAUUACGCAGUUUGGUCGGCUAGGCUGCUGCAACGCUAGGGGAGAAGGACAUCAGUGUAGAGCAUGGCGAGGCUGAAUAGUUGUUGUAUUUGAGGAUGUCUGAUCGGCAGUUGUAUGCAUGAUCAUCCAUUAGCAUCUGUUGUUGGAGCUGCAGCAGGCCUUCUCCCCUACAGUUGAAGGUCAAGAGCACAAGAGACCGAGAAAGAAUUGAACACUGUUGUUUCAAGUUCUCCUUUGCUUUCAGGUGUUCUGUCCAAGGCGGAUGAUCUGCGAUGGCAGUCGAUCGUAGCACUGGUGAUUUUUCUAUUGUUUUUUUGUUCGAUGUUCCUCGCUACAUUGUUAUUUCUCAGUAUGUUGUCCUGCUAAUGUUGUAUGUCUUCGGUCUUUUCUUACAGUAAUUUGUUUCCAUGCUUCAU